rnacentral:rRNA from 1 species
UACGUAGGGGGCUAGCGUUGUCCGGAAUCAUUGGGCGUAAAGAGCGCGUAGGCGGCCAGAUAAGUCCGGUGUGAAAGUCACAGGCUCAACCUAUGAAUGCCGCUGGAAACUGUAUGGCUAGAGUCCGGAAGGGGCGAGUGGAAUUCCUGGUGUAGCGGUGAAAUGCGCAGAUAUCAGGAGGAACACCAAUGGCGAAGGCAGCUCGCUGGGACGGUACUGACGCUGAUGCGCGAAAGCCAGGGGAGCGAACGGG